rnacentral:rRNA from 1 species
UACGUAGGGGGCAAGCGUUGUCCGGAAUCAUUGGGCGUAAAGGGCUCGUAGGCGGCCAACUAAGUCGGACGUGAAAUCCCUCGGCUUAACCGGGGAACUGCGUCCGAUACUGGAUGGCUUGAGGUUGGGAGAGGGAUGCGGAAUUCCAGGUGUAGCGGUGAAAUGCGUAGAUAUCUGGAGGAACACCGGUGGCGAAGGCGGCAUCCUGGACCAAUUCUGACGCUGAGUGAGCGAAAGCCAGGGGAGCAAACGGG